rnacentral:rRNA from 1 species
AUGGCGUUCACCGACGAGUACAAGGGCGACAAGGGUGUGGAGGCCCACUGCAACACCAAGUUGCACAUCGUCGGCAUUGAUCUCGAGUACAACAAUGAGCCGGAAGCGACGCAGAAACCCGCCAUCUGCCAACUCUCCAUCGGCAAGAAUCACCCGGUGCUGCUCUUCCAACUGAGCGCCGCUGAAAGGUGCGCCAUCUUUGACAACUUCCUCGUCGACCCCAGCUACACCUUUGCAGGCUUCUCCAUUGACGGUGACAAAACCAGGCUAGAGCGCAUCAAUCUGGAGGUCGCCAACUUCGUCGACAUCCAGAAGGAGUGGAGGGUGACCGAGGCAACCAAGGAGUUGGACUCCCUUGGAGACGUCUCCGGCAUGCUCAUCGACGACUACUACAACAACAUGAAGAAGAAGAUCAUCGACGACGAACACAAGCGCUGGGCCACCCUGCCUCUGUCCAUGAGGCACAUCGAGUAUGCGGCAAAGGACACCUACGCAACACACGAGAUAUUGAACCACAUCACCCUCACCCAGGAUGGGCUUCUUCGUGCAAAGCUGGAGAAGGAGGAGCCCCCCAAGAAGCGCGCUACGAGCAGCUGGGCAUGGGGAGACGCUAACUGGUGA